rnacentral:tRNA from 1 species
GGAGGAGUGCCCGAGUGGCUAAAGGGGGCAGACUGUAAAUCUGUUGGCGUACGCCUACGCUGGUUCGAAUCCAGCCUCCUCCACCA